ACUCAAAUGAAUUGACGGGGGCCCGCACAAGCGGCGGAGCAUGCGGAUUAAUUCGAUGCAACGCGAAGAACCUUACCAAGGCUUGACAUAUACGAGAACGCUGCAGAAAUGUAGAACUCUUUGGACACUCGUAUACAGGUGGUGCAUGGUUGUCGUCAGCUCGUGUCGUGAGAUGUUGGGUUAAGUCCCGCAACGAGCGCAACCCUCGUUCUAUGUUGCCAGCACGUAAUGGUGGGAACUCAUAGGAGACUGCCGGGGUCAACUCGGAGGAAGGUGGGGAUGACGUCAAAUCAUCAUGCCCCUUAUGUCUUGGGCUUCACGCAUGCUACAAUGGCCGGUACAAAGGGCUGCAAUACCGCAAGGUGGAGCGAAUCCCAAAAAGCCGGUCUCAGUUCGGAUUGAGGUCUGCAACUCGACCUCAUGAAGUCGGAGUCGCUAGUAAUCGUGGAUCAGCAACGCCACGGUGAAUACGUUCCCGGGCCUUGUACACACCGCCCGU
rnacentral:rRNA from 1 species